UACGAAGGGGGCUAGCGUUGUUCGGAAUCACUGGGCGUAAAGGGCGCGUAGGCGGCCGAUCAAGUCGGGGGUGAAAGCCUGUGGCUCAACCACAGAAUUGCCUUCGAUACUGUUUGGCUUGAGACCGGAAGAGGUAAGUGGAACUGCGAGUGUAGAGGUGAAAUUCGUAGAUAUUCGCAAGAACACCGGUGGCGAAGGCGGCUUACUGGUCCGGUUCUGACACUGAGGCGCGAAAGCGUGGGGAGCAAACAGG
rnacentral:rRNA from 1 species